UUUUUAGACAUUUUUGCUUCUGCUCUAAGCUCAUCAAUCGUAACUUUCCUGGUUAUACUAUGCGAUAUUUCCGUCAAGUAGAACAGGGUAUGACAACAACAUCAACAACAACUACUAUGAAAACAAAGCUGAGACACUGUUGAAGGCGUCUACAGUGGCCGUGGUAGGCGUGGCCGCCAGCGCCCACCGCAAAUGUGAACCCUGACCCCGCAGCCGCAAACCCGCAACGCGCAAACAAAAACGUAAAACGAAAAACAGCUGCAUACGCAAAUCCUUUCAAUCAAUUAUGAGGAAUUAAGUGAGGAAAACUCUAGAGAAGGGAUGCACUAUAAAAUUUCCAACUCGAUUGAGCUAUUCAGAUGGAUUAUAAGCUGAAGAGCAGCAGCCAAAACGGAAUGGGACAAGACGAGGAAGCGAGACGUUCAAUGUUUUUUUUGGUUUCGGAGUAACGUGUCGCCAAUUGGCAGCGCCGCAAAUGGCUUCACAGCAUGGAGUCGCAACAAGGGUUUUCAUUUGUUUCCCUUCCUUUCAUUCUUUCAGAGAGGAAUGUGGCAUCCUUAAGGAUGCGAGGCAAGCAAAUGAAGUUAAAUCGGCAGUUGUUGUGAGCGGGGCGGCCUCAGUUUCAGAGCACUCUCCAUUCAAAUGGCAGCCGCAUGUGGUGCACGGCAUGUGGGACGGACGUUGUGUGUGUGUGUGUGAGAGUGUGUGGCAUAGCAUGUGCCUUGUGCCUUGUGGCAUGUGGCAUGUGGCAUAUAGCCGGGCACACGCUGCCCAGGCGCUUCGUUUGUUCGUUCAUCAACAACAGCAGCAGCAACAGCAACAGCAGCAACAUCAGCUUUCGCUGGCCUUGUGCAACAGCCUCAUUAUAAAUAGCGGCCCGACUGUUGCACGGCAGCGCAGUCGACGGCGACGUCAGCGUCAACGUCACGGCUACCUGUUGGAAAUGCAAACAGCACUCCUCCCGCCUUCCCUCUCGCGCUUCCCCAGUCUACGACAGCGACGUCGACAGCGCGAGCUCUGCGACUGCGCUGGAAACAACUCUCCACUCCAUUCGAGUCGAGCACUUCGUGUUGCGCCACCCCUUCCCCUCCCACUUGACGAAUCUCUACACUAGCGAAUGCUGCUCGUUGGCGCCAACUUUUGAAUUGUGCCGAACGCACGAAACCGUUACGAAAGAGAUAGCGAAAUCAAACCCAAUUCAAAUGCCGAAAGCGCUAAAUUGAAUACAGCUGCGAAGAUAACUCAGAAGAGAAGAAUCCUGCAGCCAGUUCGCAGCUGACCCAAUAUUAAAUACAACAGCAACAACAACAAUAACAGAGGCAGAAGCCAAUAAACGCAGAGAAUAAU